GAUGAAGAACGCAGUGAAAUGCGAUAAGUAGUGUGAAUUGCAGAAUUCAGUGAAUCAUCGAAUCUUUGAACGCACAUUGCGCCCCUUGGUAUUCCAUGGGGCAUGCCUGUUCGAGCGUCAUUUGUACCUUCAAGCUCUGCUUGGUGUUGGGUGUUUUGUCUCGCCUCUGCGUGUAGACUCGCCUUAAAACAAUUGGCAGCCGGCGUAUUGAUUUCGGAGCGCAGUACAUCUCGCGCUUUGCACUCAUAACGGCGACGUCCAAAAGUACAUUUUUACACUCUUGACCUCGGAUCAGGUAGGGAUACCCGCUGAACUUAAGCAUAUCAAAAGCGGAGGA
rnacentral:misc_RNA from 1 species